AGCGAUCCCAUGGACUGCAGCCUACCAGGCUCCUCCGUCCAUGGGAUUUUCCAGGCAAGAGUACUGGAGUGGGGUGCCAUUGCCUUCUCCGGCGGUGAAGAUGAGAGAUGAGUAAAAAGGGCCCAGUGCUGUAUUUGAAAUUUGCCCAAUAUACUCGCAUUACAGUGGAGAACAGCUUUUUCCCAGUAAAUGGAGCAAAGGGGAGGUGUAUCCAGUAGCAUCUGCCUUCUGCUUUCAACCCUGAAAUGCCUUGCAGUAGCAAGACCAGCAGAAACUAUUCCCAAUUUGGCAGUCACCUUCAUUUAAUUUCUUAUGCCUCUCACUGUAAAACAUUUGAAGUACUUUGGGUAAGAAACCCUAGGCACCCAGCAAGCACUGCUAUAGGCACUGAAGAUAUAGGAAUGAGCAAGGCAGG